AAGUGGUACACCCCAUUGUACCCAGUGUUCUGGGAGUAGGCAGUACAAGGGCUGCUGGCUCAGUGAAUCGUUCAGAUUUUUCAGAUCUUGGUUCCACUUGAAUAUGUAUUCCAGGGCUGGUCUGCUUUGGCUCUGUCUGUCCAUGCUCUGGCACUGGUGCCAUCCAGUGAGCUCUCCCUACUGGCACUGUUAUUCACUAGAAGUACCACCAGCCUCAGCAGCUUCCAUGCUAAACGUGUAUCUGCCUUUGCUGCAUGAAGAUGCCUACCUCAGCAUGCGGAUGGAAGAGAUCCAGCUUCAUUUCUCUUCUCUGAGGGAAAAGUAGCUGCAGCAUUACUACCAAACGUAGUGAGAUCAGUGCCUGGGUCAACCUGGGGCUUGAGAAAAAGAUUUGGAAUGUUUUUUCUUGAGUGUUUGGGAUUAGGUAGCUUGCUUGGAGAAGUCAGUUCUUCUGAAGGCUUCAUAGGUAACAGAGUAAAUGUAGGAACACUUUUCUUCCAUAAAUAAUAAUAAUAAUUUCUUGGAAUAAUAACUAAAAAAGAAACCAUAAAAAACAAUAACAACAAAACUUUUAUUCUCCCAAAAGAAUCUAGGCACUGACUGAAGUCAGUUUUUCUCAGCUCAUAUAGAGAAGGCAGCAAAGCUGAAGGUGAAAAAUGAACUAAGACUUGGAUGAAGCAGAGUGAGCAGGCAGAACUCUUCCAAAGCUAUAUUUUAUUACUUUGGCACCCACGUUUUCAUGGAGUGCCACUGCUGCAAGUGCAGAUCUCUGCUCAUCUCUCUGAGAGAAUGAAUACAACAGCACAAGGAUGCUGGGUGUUUGUGGAGGACUUGGAAGAGCACCUUACUCCAAAACUACCCAGGCAGGAUCCAGCUGAGCAAGAGCCAGGGUAGCAAAUCCUUUGGCAACGGGGAGGGAAGCAUCAGUUGGUAAUGUCAUUGCUUUUUUAGAGGAUGCUGUCUAUCUUCUGGUCAUCCAGUGGAGUGGUUGUAGUUGAGGACCCUUAUCUAUAUCAGCAAUACACCUGGCAGCCUGCGGAAAAUGAAUAUGAAGGACACAAACACAGCAGUAUACGCUGGGCUGUGAUUAAAGGUUGAAGAGACCAUAAGACAUAAAAAUGUUCACAAAACUCUGUGCUUCAUUACCUGGGACCAGACAUUUGUCUUGGGCUAGGAACAACCAAGAAGAAAACCAAGGCCUUGUCAUACUGAUGGAAGUUUGAUGGCCUGAACCCAGGCCAUGCAUAAGUUGAGAUUGCUUACAUUGCCAGCCAUCGAGAGGGUGUCUCAGAGAAGAUUUGUAGGAGGUUGUGAGCUGCCUGAGAGCUCAUGGAAUGGGUAUGAAUGCAUGAGAGUGUUGGCUGAAGUCAGGUGAAAAUAAAAAACAACCCGGAGUCUUUAGAAAACAAGCAACCUUCAUUCAAGUGCACCAUGUCAGAAGGAAAACAGAAACAGUUUUCUGUGGCUUACUGGAAAGAGGGUAGCUGUUGGCCCUUACAUCCAGGUCAGAGUGUGUAAUAUAG
ensembl:lncRNA